CCUACGGGUGGCUGCAGUGGGGAAUAUUGCACAAUGGAGGGAACUCUGAUGCAGCGACGCCGCGUGAGUGAAGAAGUAAUUCGUUAUGUAAAGCUCUAUCAGCAGGGAAGAAAGUGACGGUACCUGACAAAGAAGCUCCGUCUCAAUACGUGCCAGCAGCCGCGGUAAUACGUAUGGAGCAAGCGUUAUCCGGAUUUUAUGGGCGUAAAGGGGAAGUAGGUGGCAGAGCAAGUCCGCAGUGAAAACCCAAAGCUCAACUAAGGGAAUGCUUUAGAAACUGCUGAGCUAGAGUGGAGGAGAGGCAAGUGGAAUGCGUGGUGUAGCGGUGAAAUGCGUAGAUAUUAGGAGGAACACCAGUGGCGAAGGCGGCUUGCUGGACUGUAACUGACACUGAGGCUCGAAAGCGUGGGGAGCAAACAGGAUUAGAUACCCGGGUAGUC
rnacentral:rRNA from 1 species